UAUUGUUGGGUUUACAUCCAUUUUGGGGUCCUUAAAACAAUGAUAUCUACUAAAACCUACAACCAUGAAUUGUAUAGAAUAUGUGAACAUUGUAUAUAGUUUUGUUUUUUGCUUUUCAAACCAUUCCUUGGCAAAUCACUUCUUCCCUCUCCAUCAUCUAUUCUGUACUUAAAAUUGCAUAGUAUGUGUAAAUAUAACAAUGAUCUGAUUCAUUUCUACGUGCAAAUAUAACAAUGAUCUGAUUCAUUUCUACGUGC
rnacentral:misc_RNA from 1 species